CGCGCCCCAGGGACGCCCUGUCCCUGUGCACAGGAGCUGACGCAGGCUUGGCCCCCGGGAACAGCUGCAGAGGCCGGGCCGCUCGGCAAGACGCUGCGGGGCGAGGGGGCCAGGGGCUCCGUGUCCCCACCCACCCCUGUGCCUGGCAGACUGCGGCGCUCGGCCGCCAGGGUCCUGGACAAUCCGAGUGGGCGAGUGAGCAGAAGGAGGCUGUUUUUAAAGUUCAGAGUGCCCCGCCUGGCUUUAGGGUGGCUCAGGCGCCCCCCUUUUUCUUUCUGUUCCUGGAUUGCGCUGAAACACAGGGGGGGGGAUCAGUGGCUCUCCUUUCAUGUCCUCUACUAAACAUUCCACAAUUACAGAUCCGUUUCUUUGAUUUAAGGUUUGGCUCCCAAUUAGAAGAAAAGGGCUCAUGAAGAGAUAUAAUCCAGGCACCUAUUUUAGGGUGAACCAGCUCAUUAUCUUUUCCCAAGGGCAAGUGGGCUCCUAGAGAAGGGAGAGAACAAAGAGAUCCAGUGGGGGGCAGGAGCCAGACCUAGGUCAUCUUUCAAGGACAGGGGCUUGUUCAUUCCAGGGGAAUAGGAGUCUGGUAAGUCUAGGAGUCUGGGUAAGAACCGAGUAGUGCCUACAUAUUAGAGAUGGGGAGGGAGCCCUCAGAGAAUGUCCGGUUCUUAUUGGGCCUCUAGGACCUAGGUGGACCUUGAUGGUUGCUGUGCCCCUGAGCAGCUGCGACCUAUUUCACUGUGACUUUUAGGCAGCCUCACCAUGACCAUCUUCUUCCGCCCCUCUCCCCCAGCCCAUAAAACCAACAGCCAUCUGUGUGAACCUGAGCCCCACAUUUUUAUGGGCUGUCUAGUGGCGGCUGCAGACAAGUGGGGGAUGAAGGCUUAUGGCUGCAGCUCUUCCAGUCUCCAAAUAUUAAACUGUGUAACAUGAUCCAUUCUCUGAAACUAAAUAUUUGCAAGGACACCCAGCAACCACCUGGCUACCAAAUCUCUUGAUCAAGAAGUUUAGUUAUUUGUGCUGUGAAAACUCCACGUGGGGAUUUUUCUUAGCUUCUGUGGGGUCAGAAAGCGACGCUCCCUUCCAUUAAGUGGGGGAGCCCACCCUGGCUUGUCCUGCUUCUGCAGGCAGGCACCUGAUUUGGGGUGCACAAAAGAAAUCUCAGUUGGGCCUAUGAGCUGAAUGAAAGAAAUCCUGUCCCUUUUUGGUGGCUCUGGUCCCUGUCUGAGACUCUUGUUUUCCUCCCAAGAAACUGCAUCGACCUCUUGUUGCUUAUUACCUAUUUGAUGAACUAUUUGCAUCAGUAUGAUGCUACUUGGAGCUUUUGUUCAGGAGCUCAGAGAGCAAGAAGAUUGUAGACAGCAGCAUCUUCUCUCCCUCUCUCUGUUUUGAUUUGAGGGUGGUUCCCAAUGAGUUGCAGGCACAUCUUCUCUCGGUUCUGUACCCUUCCAGGUCCCCUUGGCUGGACCUUUUGGAAAAUGGAAGGAUUUUUUUUUUUUUUUUUUGAGGGAGUGAGAAGUUUUGAGAAGAAAAUUAAAUGCCUCAGAUCCUCUCUCCUUCCCAACCUCACAGACAUUUGAGCAGCCCCCAUGUUCCUGGCCAAGUAUGGGACUGUCUCUUAGGACCAGGACAGACACAGGUCUGGGGUCUCACCCAGAUGGCCACUCCCUAUCCUAGAGAAAGUCUUCUGUGGAAGGGUGAGUGAGGAGCCAGGGGCUCCUCCACCUAUGGCUUCACUUCCUGGGCUCAAUGUUGCACGAAUCAACGUUUCAAUAUGUAUUUAUUCCUGUUGAGUUCACCAAAAAAAGGGGGAGGGGGAAGCCUUGCUGGAAGUAUGCCAGAAUGAGAUAUGUAAUGAUGUUGUUUAGCAGCAACUGUGUCAUUCCGUGUUGUUGACAGUAAAAUAAAUUAACAUAAUAAACAUAAUUUGCUCAAAAAAAAAAAAAACGGCUAAGGGAAAGCAGAUGGUUAGCACAUUCCAGCAGGACCUGUUGGUCCAAGUUUGCACGGAUGUUUAGACGUUUGUGCUGCCUGCGACAGAUGCUCUCUCAGGUUCCAGGCGCGCCCACGUGAUGGGCACUGGCGGGCCGGGCCUGGGGUUGGUGGUCUGGGAGCCGGCGCCUCCCAGCUGGGGGAUCUGGUUCCUGGAAAGGGGGCGCAAGGCUGCCGUGCGCAUAGCGGUGCGGGACUACAGCCGGUCCAGCGCCCGGCGCCCGGCUGGCUUCCCGGUGGCGUGGAGCCGGGGCCUCCAAGCGCCAGGGCCAUUAGCAUUCACGGCCUGUCGCCUGCCUAGUGCCCAUCCUUUGUGCGCCUGGAACAAGGGAGCUUUCUUCCGGGGAGGAGGAGGAUGGCGCUGAAGCUCUCCCCCUCCUGCCGGCAAGCAUCCAUUGGCUUCCGGAGCCAGUGGGCUUCUAUUCUGCCCUCAGUUCCUGCACCCAUAGCACCGGAAGGAGGAGAAAAAGUUAUUUCUUUCUUUCUUUCUUUCUUUUUUUUUUUUUUUCUGCAGAAAGCUAUGUGGUGCUCGUUGGGUUCUCAUUUCCUUCCAGUUUGAAGGGGCAGAGACCAUUGUUAAUACUGAUUGAAAGAUAAGAUGGUAAUGUUGGAAGGACAGCCUUUCCUCUGGGGUGAAAGGAUACUUAAGACCUUAUCCAAUUGUCUAAUGGGCCCCUCAAAGACAGCAUGGCCAAGUCUUGAAGAUCUGUCCCCAGGUUUGCAUCUCACUGGAUUUUCCCCGCUGCCAUAAAAUAUCUCCAUCUGCUGUGAUGUUUAGCAAAAAUUUGCCAUCGUCCCAUCCUUCUGCAGUCACCUUCCUCUCACCAGGUUCCUGCAGCAGCUUCUGAAAGAUUGAUCUGCUUCAUCCUGCAACCUCCAAAUUGGAACAUCUCUCUCCUCUGCUUAAAAACCUGCUAUAUCAGGCCAGAUUCUCUGGGAAGUAGAAGGCAAGAUGGAAUUAGAAAUGAAAGAGGUUUGUUAAGGGAAACCUGUGGAGGAUAAAGGAAGAGGAAAUAGGAGAAGGCAGGGAGAGACGUCAGACCAGAAUGCAGAUCUGAUCCCUGAGAAGGGUCAGCUGAAGGAGAGAAGAUCGUGAGAGAGGAGGUUUGGCUCACAGUGCAGCUCUGAGAAAGCCUGGCCAGCCCAGAAGGAAGCUCCAUAGUGUGGUCCCAGCUCUUGUAACUCCAUAGGGGUCUGGCCUUGAUAGAGUAUGGCCUCAGGUCGAAUGCUAUGAAUGGAGCCUGGUGACACUGGAGCUGGAGGCCUUUGGCUGACUGCUCUGUUCCCUGCAAGUUCUCUCCUGGGGGAGAGCUAAGUGGUGCACCCCCUGUCCGUCACACUCACCAAUGGGUUGCCCUUGCACUUGGAGUGAUACACUCUGGUUCACCAGGCUUUGCCUGCCUUAUUAUGCUGCCACUCCUAGCUAUGGUGCUCCAACCCCAAGAUCCUCAAACAAGCCAAGCUUCUCCCAUUGUUACUGCUUUUAUGUCAGUGUAGGGCACUCACCUCAUCUUCCAGUGGCAGUUUUCAUUUCAGGUCAAAUGUCAGCAGGGCCUUCUCUGGAAAAUUCCUCUUUAAAGCCCCACCCACACCCCAUCACUUUUCUGUAGCAUCUUAUCUUAUUCUGGUUAUGUGCAGUCCUUAUCAUGGUCUCACCUUUGUUUCUCCUCCUCCUCUUCUUCUUUCCUUGUGUUUACAUAUGUAUGUGUAUUUAUGUUUACAUAUGUAUUUAGUGCCACUUUUCAAGAUCAGGGGAUUUUUCUCACUUGUUUACCAUUGUGUUCCUAGCACUGCGUUGGCACACAGUAGGCACAAUCACACAUGCUGCAGGCUUGGCAUGCAAGGUCUGGAAGAGCUCUGAGCACCAAGAUUUGGUGAUUAAGUAUUCUGGGGGAUGUUCUGGGCACUUUUCAGAACAUAAAGAGUUGGGAGCUGAGAGUUUAUAGGCCUCGACUUAGCUUCUCUCAUCCCUUAAGCCAGGCUGAUAAGAAAAUCGAACAAGGAAAGUGCUUUAAAAACUCAGGAUGCUGGGUUGGGGUUGUGGCUCAGUGGUAGAGCACUCACCUAGCAUGUAGGAGGCACUGGGUUUGCUCCUCAGAAACACAUAAAAUUAAAUAAAUAAAAUAAAGGUAUUGUAUCCAACUAUAACUAAAAAAAUAUAAAACAAAUAAACAAAAAACUCAUGGUGCUACACACUGAAGGCAUUAUUCUGGAUCUGAACUAUUCAGGAUUUUAAGCAUAACAAUUAGUGUGAUUUGCUAAUAAGCGAAUGAAGGAUAGAUUACAACCUCUUCCCCAAGCAGCUUUUGAAAAAUUCUUUAGCAUAAAAGGCCGUGUUUUUUGCUGUUUAGCACAGAAGCAAGGCUUACCCGUUGGUGAUUUAGUUGCUAUCAGCAGACUUAGUUCUAGAACAUUCCAGCACUACUGUAGUCUGAAGGUUGGUGUUCCUCCCAAAUUCAUAUUUUGGAAACUAAUACCCAAUGUGAUAGUAUUAAAAGAUGAGGCCUUUGGGAAAGUGAUUAGUCAUGAAGGAUCCAUCCUCAAAUGGGAUCAGUACCCAUGUAAAAGGCUGAGGGGAGCUGCCUUAUCCCUUCUGCUUCAAGAGAACACACAAGAAGACAUCUUUGAAGCAGAGAGCAAGCUCUCAUCAGUCAUUGAAUCUGCGGGUGCCUUGGUCUUAAAUUUGCUUCCCUCUAGAACUAUGAGUAAUACAUUUUUGUUGUUUAUAAAUUACUCAGUCCAAGGCAUUUUGUAACAGCAGCCCGGAUGAAUUAAGACAAACAGUCUGCUCUGUGUCCUUGGGCAAAUUACUGAAUCUCCCUGAGCUUGUUUCUCUAGCAGGGAACUAAAGGGGUUGUUGUUUUAUUUUAUUCUGUGUCCAUAGAGGAAAAGGGAAGAUGUGUGGAAAUGUUAAGAAAUGUGGAAAGUAGAAUCACGUUCUCCUUGUCUCAUGGUCCCGGAGAGGUGGCUGUCAUAUACCUCCACUUGGAGCCUUCUCCAGGGCCAUAGAUGUGAUGGGGUGGGAGGCAGAUGGCGGAGAUGGAGAAGAGCAAGCCCCCUACAGUGCCCAAUUUAAGAUGCCACAGAGUAUACGUCUGUAGAAAAAUUCUUGGUUGAUUCUGUGGGGGCAGUGGGAGGGUAAAUCUAUGUGAAGUUCUUUCUGACAUUUACAAAUGUUUCCAAUUGAUCCUUGUAUACCUCCAAAUAAGCAAAACUUCCUUGCUGGAACCACACCCAACAACAUCCUUAAAACCCCUGAAAUUUCCAAUUAUCCUAAAUUCUCCUGACUAGCAGAACACGGUCCUUCCAGUACUGUAUGUACUGUGCUAGCGAAUCAUCCCAAAACUAUUACAAAAAUCUCAGCCUGAGCGUAGCAGCUGUGGCACAGAUGUUCUGCACAGCGGCUGGAGCAUGUUUAGCAUCAAUAAACACCAUCUCUAAGAAAUAAAACCCGAGAGUCGAGCUGGAAAUGGUGAUAACAAGAGCCAUGAAGACCAUUUGCCGGGAGGUGGGUUGAGAUGCGGGACUGAGGGUGGACACUGCCUUCCCACGUUCCAUGCCCUCAUCCAGAGCACGCUGUGAUGGAGGUGCUGAGUGUUGCUGGUGCCAGGCUCAGCUCUUGGUGCCACAUGGCCAGCUUACUCUUAGGGAUGGAGGUCCAGAGCUGUGUGCUAAGCAUGAACACCCUAAUUUGUGCUCUCCAAGCCCUGAGUCCACCCUUGGCAUUUUGUCUGUCAGAAGUCUCUGAAGAUUUAACUCUGCAUGUGCUGAUCUCAGAAGCACCUCAGGCUGGACUCAGCUCCAGAUGUUGUGGACUAGCCACAGUCAAUUUAAAAGCAGUAACUCUCCAGGACACCCUGUUCAUGUCUGAUUUCAUUUUCCCCAGAGCACCCUUUAGAGAGAAUAAACUGCUAUGUUGAACCCCAAAGAUGUUGAACCUCAGCUGUCAUUGGCAAGAUGAUCAAGCAGUUCACAUGCCAACCAGCAGGGGGUGUUGAAGCCAGAGCUUUGUCUCAAGAGUCACUGGACUUUGAGCCCUGAAGAGACCUAAGGCAUGGGCCCAGCCUAGUCCUCAUUUUGUAGACGUGGAAACCAGGACCAGAGCUCUGACAGGACUGUCCAAGGUCCCAUGGCCAGGUAGAAGAAGCUAGAAUUGAAUCCCAGGCCUGAUAUCGAUGUCAAAAUCCAUUUUCCUUCCGUCCUUGCGUGUUUGUAUCCCUUCUUUUAAGUAUAAAUCAUUGUGAGGUGAUUAGUACAUCAUCAAUUAAAGGAGAAUUCUUCAACCAUUAUCCUGACAUUAAAACAAACAAACAAGCAAACAAGAGUCAACAAAAAGGGGGGCACUAGCCCCGAGGCCUUGAGUUAAAAUGCUCUCCAACUCUGUGACCCGGGAAGAAUGCAGGAAGAAGGAAUGAGGCCUGGUGACAAACUCCAAGGACGCGUCCCUAGGAAGUAUCUAUCUAGGGGCCUCCAAAUUUCUCUGAAAGGUUUAAGAUUCCAGAAGGUCUGGCUUGGAGCUAUUUCAGUCUAUGCCAAGGUGAGUCCAGGCCCCCUAUUAGAAUAUCAUGUGUUGCUCUGAAUGUUGGAGGUGGGUCAAAGGAAGGCACCUUCCAAAGGAUGGCCUCCUCAGGCCCCUGAGAAAGGCCUCCUGAGCCUAUUUUCAGGAAGACAAGGAGACAGUUUAUGCUUUCUGAUCUGUUAUCCUGUCUUCUCUGCCUGCUGGUACCACUUGGAGAGCUACCCAGCUUUGAGAGAUGUCCUUGCCCUACCCUGUCCCAGACUCUGGUUGGAAACCCCCUUUAAAGGUCAUUAUCCACAUUUCACUUGCAUCAAGACUUCUUUCAGGAAACAUGCCAUGUCAGCCCCAAAGAGGCCAAAACUUAGGACUUCUUCUAGUAAGGAACAGGAGGUCCCAGCUGCACUCCGCCUAUGUCACUAGGGACUCAAAAAUUCUGUAUCUCUUAAGGUCCCAGCAAUAUGGCGGCAGCAGCAUGUGACUCAUGUUGGUGUUUAUUCAAUCCUAGUUUGUCUAAUAACUCUCAGCCUUUUAAGAGUCACCAGCAAGAAGUAUCUUUCUCAGGACUCUGAAGCUACGAGUUUGCAGAAAUGUUGAUGUGAAAUCUCUAGGAAAAGGGAGAAGAAUUAUAAUCCACAAAGCAGCUGGUAAGGAGUGAGGGUGCAAAGGACACUCGCACAAGGACAGCUUCUGUACUUCUCUGUGAUGACAGCCCCAGAAUGAGGUGAGGAGUGGGGCUGAUGACCCAGAACACUGUGGCAUGCAAUGCUGAGGCUCAUGGAAGGCAGGGCUAGGAGCAUCUAUCCUCUUUAGCUCAACAUUUGUAGGAGCGUCUACUAUGUCUUAUGCAUUGUGCUGGGGGUUGGGGCCAUAAGAACUGGGAAACAAGCUUCAGGUCCUACCUGUAUUAGUCAACUCUCUGUUACUGUGAUAAAGUACCUGAGAAAAUCAACUUAAAGAAAGAAAGGUUUAUUUUUGCUCUCAGUUUCAGAGAUUUCAGUCUAUAGUUGCUUUGCCCCAUCAUGUCAGCUUGUGGUGAGGCAGAGAGCAUGUGAUGAGAUAAAAUUUCCCACCUCAUGGGAACCAGAAUGCAGAGAGAGACAGUGAGGAAGGGAUCAGGGAUAAGAGAUACUCCUCCAAGGCAUGCCCCCGGGGACCUACUUCCUCCAACUAUGCCUCCCCUCCUACAGUUUCCACCACCUCCCAAUAGUCCUUUCCAUUGUGAACCUGUCAGUUGGUUAAGCCAUAGAUGAAAUCAGAGCCCUUAAAAUUCAAUCAUUUCCCCAAAUCUCUACCUCUGAGUAUUCCUGCAUUGAGGGGGAACAUUCUAGAUCCAAAUCAUAACAUUGCCUUUGGUAGAUGCAGAUUCCUAAUAGAACCACAGUUCAUCAAAAAAAUGUCCCUAUGUCCCAAAGAACAUCGUGGAGGGUUGAGGCUGGAGCUCAGUGGCAGAGCACUUGCCUAGCAUGUGUGAGACACUCGGUUCAAUCCUCAGCCCCACAUAAAAAUAAACAAAAUAAAGGCAUGUUGUCCAUCUACAACUACAAAAAAAAAAUUUUUUAGAAAAUAACAUCUUAGAAAGAGGAGGCAACUCAACUAAGGUGAGCAAGGGCAGAUACAGGGCUGUCAAAGCUGGUUCUCCUCUGGACCACUGGGGUAGGUCUGGGGACAGACACCCUGAUGUUUGGCCAGAUUUCCAGGUGUAUUUGUGCCUGUCUGUUCUCCUUGCACUAACUUAAAUGUUUGCAGGCCAGAGAGAGUUCCCCGAGUGUCUCCCCUGAGUUCUCAGAAGGCGGGCAGCACUCAAGGGCCCUCCCGGCCUCCUUCUCAGGUGCCUAGGGCAGGUGGCUGAGUCCCCACGGUAGCACCCAUCCUUCCUUCCAGAGCAACUUCUCUUGGCUGGUUGUGCAGAGGACUAGCCAGGAAAGCCUCUGCACAGGUGAGACAUACAUUUGGGGUGCCAGAUUUUGCAGGUUUAUGUGAUUCAAUGGAACCUAAAUUAUGAGUGAGACCAAAGGCCAAGGCUGAGCCCUCCUGGGGGGGGGUCUGGGGUUUGAUAUCAGGCAUAGGUUAGCUGAGGCCAGAAUCUUCCCCUCCUGGCUUCUGCGUACUGCUCCUGGAAGACCAGCGGGCACUGGGGAUGUCCACCUGGACCUGGUGCUCACCACAGGCAGGGCCUCCUUCUUUGUGUCUUGCCAAACUCCAGCCAGCCUUGGUCAGGGUCCUUCCGCCUCUCAGCAUGGGUCCUGGGUGCCGCUGAGGGAACAUUCCCCAACACAAGCACUUCCCCAAGCCUUGUGGAUUAAUAACUGCCAUUUAAAAAUAAUGAGAAGUGAUGGAGAAUUAAUUUCAGAAAUAACCCUGGCCAAAUAACUCAUUAAAUGGGAUCUCCCUGGGAGUCACUUCUGCUCAACGUCAGACUUUCAGCACUCAUGAAAAGCAAUGCUGAGUUGGAUCAAAGUUUCCAGUCAGAAUCUUUGCCUUCUCUGGCUGCUUUUCUUAUCCCCGGGGCCACUGGAUGUCCAGGCAGGGUCCUCUGCAGGCUGGGAUUGCAGGGGGUCUCACCAGGAGUUGGGUAGAGGGUACAUUGUGGUUUUCUCUCAGGGACCAGAAGCAAGUGAGAAAUUCUCAUUCCUAGGUUCCUGUUCUCUUUGGUAUUUGCUCCCAAUUGUUGGGCAAAAUGCCGAUGCGGGAACAAAAAAUCCAGGCAACCAGGACAUCUUGGUGACCCUUUGGCGUCAGUCCACAGGUUAAGUAGAAGCUGAAGUUAUUCGGGAGCUUUGAUCGGCCCUCUGCGCUUCUGUCCUUUGGAAGUGUUUGGUGGAACAGUGAUUCUCUGAGGGUGGACUCCCACCCACGGAUGUCUAUUGAGUGGAGGGUGAACUUGGACCAGAGUUCUGACCGUGCCAUGGAGGUGCACAAGAGCCAGAAGGAGGUGGCUUGGUGGACUACUGUGGUCUUCUUCCCUUUCUAGAAUGGCCAGCCGUUGGCUGUGCUGGUGCCAGAUGUGUGGCCUCUCGGGAACAGGCUGGCCCUGACACACAGACCCCAAGAGCUGUGACCCAGUCCCCUGCCCUUUGGCGGCUCCUUCCCUAGUUGGAGAAUAAGAUGUAUGCACCACACGGGAAUAAAAACAACAAAGUCCCUCCAUGGACAGUGGAAUGCGAUGUCCAAUGAGUGGUUUGGAUAAUUGUUGGAGUGAAAGUUCAAAAGAGGGAGAAAGUCCUUAUUUUGUGAUCCUGGAAAUUCUUCAUAGCAGAAAUGAGAUUCAAGAUUUGUUUUAAAAACAUGGUAAAAUUUGGGAGAGAGAGAGAGAGAGAGAGAGAGAAGGGGGUGAGGUGGGAAAGCAAGAAUAAAUACCCCUGGGGAUAGCACAGGGCACAGCAGGACUGUGGGUCCACCUGUGAGUGGUGUGGAAGAGGAGAAGGAAGGAAUCAGGCUAGGAGGUGCAUCAGGGCCAAAGCUUGAGGGCUUUGAAGACUAAGAAACUUUGUUCGGACGGAGGUGAUGAGAUCAGAGUGUGGGUCCAAGGCUCUUAUGAUGGAAGGACCACAGGAGACUGUCUAUUACUCCUGUGUUGACAGUGUGGGAUGGGAAUUCUGGUUAUGGGGUGUGGGAUGGGUUGUGGAGGUGUAGAGGAAAUACUAAACCCUCAAAAGUUACUGGUAGGUAUUGGGUUCUAAGUGACAGGAGUGGUCUGCAUAGUAGUGACUUAAAAAGGUUUAUUUUCUGCCAUGUUUUAAAAUUUCAGGGAUUAUAUUGGGUUCUGAGACUCAGAGUGCUUCUCACUUGUUCAUCUGAAGUGAAUGCCUUUUUUUUUUUCCCAACAGCUCCUCGUGGUAUAAGGUGGCUGCUGCAACUCUUGUUUUCACAUUGUCAUUCAAGUCCAAGGGAAGGAGGAAGGGAAGAUGUAGAAGUGUAGAAGACUAGAGAUGACUAUACAUUCUCUCAUUAACAAGUGUGGUUUACACUUUGGGCCGUUCAUUAUACCAAAGUUUUUUUAUUUUCAUUUUUCGGUUACAUACUAAAUAUGUCUCUUUAGGAACCACUAAUUCUGUGACAAUUUCAGUAAAUCAGGUGAAAACUCAUUCACCUCUGUUGUCUUCUUGAAGUGAACAUUAUACUAUCAAUGUAUGUUUUAUAGUCUGUAAAAUUUCUCCUCCACUCUCCCAAAUGACUCUCAGUCAUUGAAAUUCUUUAAGAAAAUGAAAUGUUUUGAAUCAAUUAAUUUUAGAUAAUAUUCAAAUAAUGUAUACAAUGAAAUGUCCAGAUCUUCAUGGUACUAUUGAACGAGAGGGACCAUGGCCUUCAUGACCACCCUAAUGUAGACAUAGGACAUUCCCAUCACUUCAGUAAGAUCUAAGGGGACACUGCUCUCAGUCAUCCCCCACCUCCACCCACCACACAGGGUCAGCCAUUUCUACCAUGGUUUUCUUAUUCUUCUGUGGCGAGAAAAUAAAACUUAAAAUGAUUUUACCACUUAAAGCAGAAAAAAUAGCAUUAGGAACCAUACACUUCCAUCUUGUCCAUAGGUGUUCUUUUUUUCAGGGGUGGGGGGGUCUUCAGUGAUUGAACUCAGGGACACUCAACACUGAGCCACAUCCCCAGCCCUAUUUUGUAUUUUAUUUAGAGACAGGGUCUCACUGAGUUGUUUAGCCCCUCGCUGUAGCUGAGGCUGGCUUUGAACUCACGAUCCUCUUGCUCAGCAGGUGCUCUUAAUAUGCUUUAAUCCUCUACCAAAAAUUUUCUGAUGUGUGAUAAUAAACAAUGCAAAAAAAACAAAAAAACAAAAAAACAAAAAAGAAGCGUGAUUUAUGUCCCUGCCCUUGAAUCUGUGGCUACUUUGUCUUUUGGGAGAUGGCAGAAGUGAUGUGAUACCAGUUUCUAAAUGCAAGCCUUAAGAAAAUGGCAGCCUCUACACUCUCUAGGAACAUUCUCUCUGGAAGUCUUGAGCUUCCAUAUGAUGUACCCAGCCACUCUGCCGUGCUGGAGAGGGCACUUGUAGGAACUCUGGUUGACAGUCUCAGUUGAUCCUAGCCUUCUAGCCAUCCCAACCAAAACAUCAAGUAUGCAAAUGACGCCACCUAGGCCCCUUUAGAACAGCUCAAUCCACUAUUAGAAUAUCACCAGGUGACCCCAGUGGAAGAAAAAAAUCCCAUAUCACAUAGUUGAGCUCUGUCCGUGUUUUUCAUCAAUAAAAUUAUGCAAAACAGUAGAAAUGAUUGUUGUUUGGGGAUUUUAAACACUAAGUUGUGCAGGAACAGAAUUGGAGGUGGGUUGCUGUCAUAACAACAAUAAUAACAACAACAAAAAAAACCCCAAAAAACUUGUACAUGGCUAUGACUUUGAGAUGAAGCACUGGGCAAAAGGUGGGGACCUCAAGAAGAUUGUCCUUAAGGCUAUUAUGAAUACUUGGAGAAAAGGAAGGAAAAUGUUACUGAAGGAUGGAGAGAAAUUUUAGUCAUGUUAUCACCCAAUGAGCUGGUGAUGUGGUUGAGGAGACUCCAGGAGACUCCAGGCAGAAGAUAGAAGUUACCACCGACUUCUUCUAGGUGCUGUAAGCUACAACAAGAGAUGAAUGCAAGAGGGAACUAUUAUGGUGCAAAGCAGAGUUCAGAGAAAAUAUAAAGGAGCUAGGGUUUUCUAGCUGUAAUAACAAAUGUAUUCCUCAUUCCUAUUCUCUUUCACCAUAAGUAUCACAGUAAGAAAUGAACAAAGAUCAAAUCUUGGUACCACCUGGCCUCAGGCUGAUGGUCUCAUUCAUGUGGUUGUAAACUUUUUAAAAAGAUCUCUAGGUGUAGAAAGAGCUGACUUAAAAAACAGACAGUACUUUGGUCUAAUGGAAUUGACCAUCAAUGGAUUCAUAUGUAACCCACAGAACUUUUAAAGGAAUUGUAUCAGCUUGAACUGAAAAGGCAAAUACAAUGCAAAAGGAAAAGAGGCCUUUGGACCCCAGGCUUUUAGAGUGGGAAAACAGUCUGAGAAGGCUACUCAGCUGUAAAAUGUUACAUUUCCUACCAAGAAACAAGAGUCCAGAGCUCCCUGGGAGUCACUCCUAGAGGGUAGGACUUUGCUUUCAUUAGAGAACUGGGGACGUAUUCUUGGUUGAAUUUCCAGACUGCUAAGGACCAAUCAAUGCUAAUGCUGCAACUCUCUCUUUCUCAAUUUUGCACUGAGUAUAUAGGAGUCUUUCUAUUCUGGUAUUACCAUCGUUGGUUGAUCAGGGGUUGGGGAGGGGGCAGCAGUCAUUGUUUCUCUGGUUCACAGGUCUUUAGCACAAGAAGAACCAGAUUUGAUGGACUAGUCCCUGAAGAACCUGCUACAGGAGAUGAGAUCCUGACUCGGCCUGUGUCUAGAGCUGUGAUGGGGAGAGACUCUGUGGGGAUGGUCUUUGUAUUUCAUAUGUGGAAAUAAUGUAAAUAAAUGGUGCCUAAGGGUGAUCUGAUCGGCA